GAGGACAAGCAACAUGUCCGUCACCACGUAAUCUAAGUCCUGAAAUGGAGUGUUUAUUUUCACACAGAAAAGUCACAGUUAAGUGGUGUUUCACUAUAACAGGAGAGAGCCUACCUGGUUAUUGCUCCCGCUUCCUCGGCCCAGGAACAAUGGCAAGGGCUUUCUUCACCCCUUGCAUUUUCAGGGGGCAUUAUCAGCUUUGUGUGUUGUUGCUACCAGUGGGAAGCAGCUAUGGCAAGAGUAAUCCAGUUCCUUUUCAUUCCAGCCUAAAAAAAAGAUGCACCAAGAGUGGGAGUCAGUGGAUGCCAUAUUAGCCUUUUGCCAUGGGAUAUUGUCUACUUCUCUUAACCCUCCUCUAUCACCUAGGCCUGAUCCAAUCCUAUUUAACUUCCACAGGGUAUGUCUACAUAGCACACUAAAAAGGCUCUGAUUCAGAUUUGAGCCUAAGCCCCCGUUCCAUCCACACACAAAAUCAGUCUAACUUGGGUCAGCAAGCACACAGGACCCAGGUUCUAGGAUCCUCCUAUUGUGUUGGGACAGAGCUUGAAUCUCUCUGUGACUCAAGUCCAAGCCCUGUCAUUUUGCAGCGUGGAUACAGCUCAAGCCACAGACCUGAGUCACAAGGUCUGCCUACUUCAGUAUUGAUGCGUUACCAUGGCUAUGAGACUCAUAUUCAGCAAUUGUAAAUCCAGGUUUACAAUGGAACGUGGAUGCUCAGGUCAGUGAUGCUGGAACAAUUUUUAUAGUGGGGGUGCUGAGAGCCAACGAACCAAACUGUAAACCUGGUAUAUAAUUGAAACCACUAAAAGCUAGCACCCCUAGUUCCAGCACCUAUGGCUGAAGUGUGGGCUUGGAAACACACUCCACAAGCACAGAUCUCACAGACCUGGGCUUACAAUGCAAUAUGGACAUACUCAAAGACUCCUGUGUGCUGAUCAGGCCCCUAGAGCAGGGGAGCAGGCAGGUGGUAGUCUCUUUGGAAUAAGAAAAGGAGUACUUGUGGCACCUUAGAGACUAACAAAUUUAUUUGAGCAUAAGCUUUCAAAAUUUGUUAGUCUCUAAGGUGCCACAAGUCCUCCUUUUCUUAAUACAAGCAUGGUUAAUGUUAGGUGCAAGAUUAAGCCAAGUUGUGGCAACUUUGAAAAUUUGUCCCAUCAGUUUGUCUACUCCAUUCCUAAGAGGGGCUAAUGCAAGACUGUACUUUAGAAUCUGUGCUCCAAGGCUCUGCCUGAUCUAGUUUUAAAUGUCUCAAGUGACAUGAUUUUCCCCAUUUCCAGUGGGAGAUUAUUCCACAAAAUAAUAAACCUCACUAUCAGUAACACCGUAUCAAUACAAGAAAAUCCUUUAUCAGGCACACUUGUUAACAGCACAUUGUCUUGUAACAUUCAAUUCGAAUGACAGGGCCUAUUGCUAACAAAAAAUAUUACUCAGUGUUUUGUAUGCAUUUUCAGUAUAUUGUCAGAUCUGGGGGCUUAUGCUGACAUUUCCUCAGCUCCUCAGUUUACUUCUUUGAUGAGAAAAACACAAGAAGAAAAAGCUUAUUGUUCCUGUUGUUGUGCACUGAACAACUCAUAAAAAGUGUCACAGUACUCUACAACGUUGUUCCAGACACGACAGUGCGUAACAUCAGUUUUGCAAACAAUUGUGAUUUCAUUUAGCUUCUCGAGUCAUGUGAUUACAUAAAAAUCUCAGCUUUCAUUUGGAGCUCUAGACCUAAUGAUUGUGGAGCAAAGUUUGAGGAUGUGAUCCUAAUGCUACUUACAGGCUCAGAAACCAAAAGUCAAAGAAAAAGAACUUCACUUUUUUUUUAAUUAAUAAUUUUUACGACAACUUCAUCAUAUUUUAGGAUUUGACAAUAUUGUUACUCCAUUGUUUUGGGCCACUAAUAAAUAUUUAUACUUUGCACUUCCAUCCAUUCAAGAAUCUUAAGAGAACUUUAUAAAUAUUAACUAAGUCUUACAACAAAUUUAUUUUUAUAUUAUAUAGCACUUUUCAUUGUGAAGGAUUCCAAAGUACUUUAAGCUGUAACGAACUGAUAUAUAAAGUAUUAAAUAGUUAAUUAAUUUAAGGAUAAAAAGUAAAGUAUAAUUAUUAAUUUAUUAAUAAUUUAUUAUUAAUUAUUAUUAGAUACAGGAAUUAAUCCACAACCACCACUGGAAUGCAGCCACCUCUAGAGAGAGACUUGACAGCAUUUUAAUAAUGAAUCACAACAAGACACAACAGUUUAGGGUAGGAAGUGAAGGAUACAGUUUAUGCAGGGAUCAUUUCAAGCACCACUGAAAUGCAGCUAUCUAUGGCAAAGAAUGUGGCUAUUGUUUAACUGUUGUUCAACAACAGUGCACAUCAGAUUAGGAUAGGAAAUGAAGAAUACACUAUUUAGUAAAAAAAAAUAAUUAACAAUUAGAUUAUUUAACUAGUAAACAUCUGGGAUUAUGUUGUUCAUAUUUAUUAUCCUUGGGUGCUGACAAUGUGUUUGACACUAUACCAGGUAAAAGAUGAUGACGGUCUCUAGCAUGAAGGAUUUACAGUCUUCAUGUAUUUUUGAAAGGCAUAUGCCCUGUUACUGGUGGGAGGUAUCAAAGUGAUGAACACCAUUACAAAGCUUUAAAGAUUUAAACCCUGCAAAGAUUUAGAUCCUGCAAAGUUUACAUACAUGCUUAAAUUUAACUUAAAAUCAGUGGGACUAUUCAUGUACUUAAAAAUGAGUCCUCUUAUAUGCGUAAAGGUAAACAUAUGCAAAUUUUUGCAGGAUUGGGGGAUUAGUUUCUGUAGAAACAGAUCUUUGCUGAACCUAUGACCAACAGAAAUCUUUCUGCAAAAUUAGGAAAACUCCAAUGAAAACAAAUAAAUUAUCCUCCACAUAUUUGCAAUCCAGGUAUUGCACUGACAAAAAGUGAAAUUAACUAGAAACUGACUAUGAUAUUUUUAUUAGUGAAUGACAUAGCCUGGACACUAUAAACAAAAGCAAAACUGACUAAUCUAGUUUCACUAGCCAGUCCAAGUGAAGGGCAAACAAUAAAUAGCUCAUCAGGGUAGGGACUGUAUCUAUUUUUGUCUCUAAAACAAUGGGGUGCUGAUCCCAGGAUGGGAGGGAUGCGCCUUGGGACUCUGUCGUAAUAUAAAUAUUAAUAAUAAAAAUAGAUUGCCUCAGAGAUGAAAGAUAAACAACAUCCUUUCAGUGCUAAUUAACUCAGAUGUCAUGAGCAACAUAGGGGAGGAAAUUUGCUUGUAAGAAUAUACUAUGUUUAACUUGCCGGCUUCCUUUAAAUAAACAAAUACAUACUG